CCAUUUUAUACAUUUCCAAGUUUGAAGUCUGUUUGAAUUUCCCGCCCCGUCCCUCCGCCCAUCUGGUUGCUGAUAGGUCGAGGGUGCCGCACUAGGUGGGAGCUUGGUUUCCCGCCCUGUGCCUUGGCCAAUGAGGAACAACCUUCGUCUCUGUCAGGGCCAAUCAGGUUGGGGGAGGCGGGAGUCAGCUAGACAAUGGAUUUUGGUAAAUGAAUCAUUGGGGAUAUCUUAUGCAAAGUGACUACCUGAGGCUAGCGCCUUCUAAGAUAAUCUAAGAUUAUUGCUGUUUUGAAUAGAGCCAUUUGGAAUGUCCGGGGUUUUACGCACGUACACAGUUCAUGAACACCUAAGGUGUGGCGGAGGUGACAGCAAACAUUGAUAAUAUGGGGUUAUGGUGGCAGGACCAGCGGGGGGCCUUCCUAUGGCUCUCCAGGGGUCCAGGUGAGUUAGUGGUCAACAUUACCAUAUGAGAUUUAAUUACCCGGGGGACUGCUCCGAUCUGGGGUGGCUCAAUCUCUCGCUAUGGGCCAUGCAGAUGCAAAAUAGAUUAAAUUUUAUGGUGACAGUUUAUCCUCUUUUGUGUGUGAAGCCCAGAGUAUAGGGUAAAGGAAGGUGGGAAUUUUCGGGGUUAACUAGAGUUCAGGCUAUGCCUACAUUGAUUAAAAUAUACCGGGGAAUGAUAUCUAAAGUAACAAUUAAAAUAAUAUCUAAGAUAAUGUAGUGUAUAUUUUCUUUUAUUGUGUUGUUUAAUGUGUUGUUCUAUUAUAUUUUGUUAUAUUGUAUUGUUCUGGGCAUGGCCCCAUGUAAGCCACCCCGAGUCCCCGUUGGGGAGAUGGUGGCGGGGUAUAAAUAAAGUUUUAUUAUUAUUAUUAUUAUUAUUAUUAUUAUUAUUAUUAUUAUUAUUAUUAUUUACAGGAUUUUUCAGAGGCAACGCUGAUGGAAUUGUUCCAGGAGUGUGACCUCUGUAAACAGUGCACAUUUUGCAGGUGUAGAACAAGGUUGGGAAGACAACAGCUUUAUAAAUAAGCACCUUGGUAUCCCUACGGAUAUCCCAAUCCUCAAAUAC
rnacentral:lncRNA from 1 species